rnacentral:rRNA from 1 species
UACAGAGGGUGCAAGCGUUGUUCGGAAUUACUGGGCGUAAAGCGCGUGUAGGCGGUCUAGUAAGUCUGAUGUGAAAGCCCGGGGCUCACCCCCGGAAGUGCAUUGGAAACUGGUGGACUCGAGUCCCGGAGAGGAGAGUGGAAUUCCUGGUGUAGCGGUGAAAUGCGUAGAUAUCAGGAGGAACACCGGUGGCGAAGGCGGCUCUCUGGGCCGUGACUGACGCUGAGGAGCGAAAGCGUGGGUAGCAAACAGG